rnacentral:rRNA from 1 species
AUUGAACGCUGGCGGCAUGCCUUACACAUGCCAGUCGAACGGUAACAGGUCUUCGGGUGCUGACGAGUGGCGAACGGGGGGGUAAUACAUCGGAACGGGCCCGAUCGUGGGGGGUAACGAAGCGAAAGCUUUUCUAAUACCGCAUACGAUCUACGGAUGAAAGCCGGGGGCCGCAAGGCCUUGCGCGAACGGAGCGGCCGAUGGCAGAUUAGGUAGUUGGUGGGAUAAAAGCUUACCAAGCCGACGAUCUGUAGCUGGUCUGAGAGGACGACCAGCCACACUGGGACUGAGACACGGCCCAGACUCCUACGGGAGGCAGCAGUGGGGAAUUUUGGACAAUGGGCGAAAGCCUGAUCCAGCCAUGCCGCGUGCAGGAUGAAGGCCUUCGGGUUGUAAACUGCUUUUGUACGGAACGAAAAGACUCUGGUUAAUACCUGGGGUCCAUGACGGUACCGUAAGAAUAAGCACCGGCUAACUACGUG